GAGGCAGCAGCGCUCUAGGGGAGGAAAAGAAGGGAAAACAUUCCCGUAAGGGUUACGGUGAGUUCCCGCUCCUGUAACUUCUCCGUCCGAGCUCCGAUCGCCGCACCGUUUGCGGCCACGCGUUCACUGCGUCGAGCUCUACAUUUCUACCGGAACAAUUUCUUUGGAUCUAAUUAGCUUGAGAAAAACGUUCAUUCUUGCUUAUGUGAAGCUUGGGUAAGGUUGUGAAUAAAUAAUUGGAGCUUGAAAUUGUGAAUAUUGGAACUUGGAGGAAGCUGAUUAGUUGAAUUUUGAAGGGGCUGCCUUGGUUUUAAAUAAUUUGCUUUGGUCGUUACGUGGAAAUCGGCCAAGAUGCAGGUCGAGAGGCAUCUCGUUAGGCGUCUGGACUCUUGAAGCGGAGUGGUUACUGGGUUAUUUUGUUAUGCUAUGAUGUAUAUUUACGUACUUAGCUUUCUCUCCACAUAACUUAUUCUUUUUGAUCCUCCUAGAGGUGUAUGGAGAGGCAGGAUUUUGUUUAUGUACAUUUGGGUUUUGGAUAUGUUUAUAUAUGUAUAUAUGUGUGUAUGUUCUCCGGCUAGUCUUGACUUCGCAGACUGAGUCAGGAGCUCGUUAUUUUGUGUCUUUGACUCUCUGUUCCUAUUUUGGGUUACUUUACACUUGACAGCUGUGGCUUUCUUAGCAUGCAAGUUAACUCAUUUCUCGAGCGUUGCGCUUUUAU